AUUUUCUACAUACUACAUAUCAGCUUCUCAUGGAAAAGACAACCUUACCCUCGAUUCAAAAUCACAACCAAACCGAGUCAAAAACCAGCCAUAACUAAAAUCAAAAGCUUAUUUUACAUUUGCAUCCAUUUUCACUCUCUUCUUCGUUUUCCCUUCUCUACAAAGUUGAUUAAAUCUUCCCCAAAACUGAAAAACAGAGCCACACAUUCAUCACUGAUCAAGUUGACAGUGUUUCGGAAGGUGACACGGCCUGGAAACUUGAGAUUCUUUUGUACAGAAGCUAUCAUAGUUGUUCUAGAAGCUCCUAGAUUGACAGGGAGGUUUUGCGUUUCUUAUGGUAUUUGAUAUCUUGUUAGUGGGUUUAGUUUGAUAAGUUUAUCCGAGACAUGUUUUGGAAAUUCAGGGUAUGUAUUUUCAGAAGUUAUAGGGUUGAUUGUUGAGCAUAAAACUCAAAUGUCUAUGCUUGACUUUCCAAGGUGUUGGAUCUAUAAAUUUUCUCUUGCAACCACAUGUGCCCUGCAGCAAGCUAUUCCGUUAAGUUUCGGCAAUGCACUACGUGGGUAGUGUAGGGAACCCAAAUAAUUCAACUCGCCCACGCAAGGAGAAGAGAUUGACAUAUGUGUUGAAUGAUUCUGAUGACACAAAGCAUUGUGCAGGCAUAAAUUGCUUGGCUGUACUUAAGUCCGAAUCAUCUGAUGAGUCUGAUUUUAUUUUCACCGGAAGCCGUGAUGGCAAACUAAGAAGGUGGGCACUAUCUGUGGAUGCAGCGGCAUGCUCUGCGACCUUUGAAUCUCACUUGGAUUGGGUAAAUGAUGCAGUUCUUGUGGGUGAUAGUACGCUUGUUUCUUGUUCUUCAGAUACGACCCUUAAGACAUGGAAUGCCUUGUCGACAGGAACAUGUACUAGGACACUCUGCCAACACUCAGAUUAUGUUACUUGCCUUGCAGCAGCUGAAAAAAAUAGCAAUAUUGUUGCCUCGGGCGGCCUUGGUGGGGAGGUUUUUAUAUGGGAUAUUGAAGCUGCACUCGCUUCAGCUGCAAAAUGCAACGAUGCUAUGGAUGUCGAUACUUCAAAUUGUGUCAAUGGUUCUGGCAACUUAUUGCCAAUGACAAGAUUACGUACCAUCGGCUCUAGCAACAGUAUAUCCAUGCAAACUCAAACUGAAGGAUACAUUCCGGUUGCUGCCAAAGGCCAUAAGGAAUCUGUUUAUGCAUUGGCAAUGAAUGAAGGUGGAACACUUCUUGUUUCCGGUGGUACAGAAAAGGUUGUACGUGUUUGGGAUCCAAGAUCUGGAUCAAAGACUAUGAAGCUAAAAGGGCAUACAGAUAACAUCAGAGCUCUGCUUCUGGAUUCUACUGGCAGGUUUUGUUUAUCAGGAUCUUCAGACUCUAUGUUAAGGCUUUGGGAUCUCGGUCAGCAACGGUGUGUGCAUUCUUAUGCCGUUCAUACAGAUUCUGUUUGGGCUCUUGCUAGCAAUUCAACGUUUAGUCAUGUUUAUAGUGGUGGUAGAGACUCUUCUUUAUACUUGACAGAUUUGCAUACUAGAGAAAGCAUUCUGCUUAGCACUGGGGAACAACCAAUUCUUCAAAUGGCUUUGCAUGAUGAUAGCAUAUGGGUUGCAUCAACGGACUCGUCAGUUCACAGAUGGCCUGCUGAAGUGUGCAACCCUCAAAAGAUUUUCCAAAGAGGCAAUUCUUUUUUAGCUGGAAAUUUGUCAUUUUCAAGAGCGAGGGUGUCUCUAGAAGGAUCUACCCCUGCUCCUGAAUACAAACAGCCUACAUUGACUAUUCCCGGCAUCCCUGCAAUAGUACGACACGAAGUUUUAAAUAAUAAGAGGCAUGUGCUGACAAAGGAUACUUCUGGUUCAGUGAAGUUGUGGGAAAUCACGAAAGGUGUUGCAAUUGAAGAUUAUGGAAAGGUACCAUUCGACGAGAAAAAGGAAGAGCUGUUUGAGAUGGUUAGUAUUCCUGCAUGGUUCACAGUGGAUACCAGACUUGGAUGUUUGUCUGUACAUUUGGACACUCCCCAGUGCUUUUCUGCAGAGUUGUAUUCACAAGAGCUUAACAUUGUAGACAAACCGGAAGAUGAUAAGAUUAACUUGGCUCGAGAAACACUGAAAGGACUCUUGGCUCAUUGGAUGAGAAAACGAAAGCAAAGGAUGGGAACUUCUAUUUCUGCUAAUGGGGAAUUAUCAUCUGAAAACGAAAUUGGUACUAGAAGUCUUUCACAUUCAGACGUUGAGGUUGACGGAAGUUCUGAGAAUGAGGCUGUCGUUUAUCCUCCUUUUGAAUUCUCAAUUGUUUCCCCUCCUUCCAUUAUUACUGAGGGAACACUCGGAGGUCCAUGGAGAAAAAAGAUUACAGAUUUAGAUGGAACUGAAGAUGAUAAAGACUUCCCCUGGUGGUGUCUGGACUGUGUACUGAAUAAUCAAUUACCUCCUAGAGAAAAUACCAAAUGCAGUUUCUAUUUAUAUCCCAGUGAAAGCUCUAAUGUCCAGAUCCUCACUCAAGGGAAGCUAAGUGCUCCACGUAUAUUAAAAAUUCAUAAGGUUAUUAAUUAUGUUAUAGAAAAGAUGGUGCUUGACAAACCUUUGGAUAGUGGCAAUGCUCAAGGUAGUUUCCCCCCUGGAAUUGCUGGAUCGAAUUUACAGAACCAAACAGCUGGGGAUGAUUCUUUCCGAUCUGGGUUUAAACCUUGGCAAAAACUUAGACCUUCUAUUGAAAUAUUGUGCAACAAUCAGAUAUUGCCUCCAGAAAUGAGCUUAGCCACAGUGCGAGCUUAUAUAUGGAAGAAAACAGAGGACCUUGCCCUAAAUUACAGAGUAAUUCAUGGGAGGUGAUUGCAAAUUGUGCUUUCGUCGAUGGCGGUAUAGCAUCUUAAACUUUGCUUAGGUUUUCUUGUGAUUGCAUUAAACACUUCAGAGCAAUGAUUCUUAACGGGGUGCUGCCUAUUUUGAUCAGUAGCAUUGUAAGAGAUUUGUUUGUUCUAAACUCACAUUGAUAACCAAAUUUAGUGGCAUUAUUCAAACCUGCUCAAAUAGAUUUUCCUAUGUUGGAAUUUGUGACUAAUUCUUUUUGAAGUACAUCUGGCUUGAACAUACUUUCAGUGGUCAUGACCAAGACUCGUUAAUUUUGUGUCUGCAUGAUGAAGAAGGUUUUCUAAUGGGCUCCAUGGAGUAGGGAUCAUCAAAUGGGUGUUUUCCAGGAAGUAGGUAGUAAAUAUAGGGAUGACAACAAAAAUAUUGUACAUUUGAUCCGUAUGUUGAAUACCUAAACAUAUAAAUUAUGUUCUAUAUCUGUAUUUUUCCUUCAUAUUUGUUUCUGUACUAUUUCUUUUUUCAAUAAAAAUAUUGGCCAUCAUUAAUUGCAA